GUACCGCAGCUUCCAGACGCGAAGAAAAAUAUCAAUUACCAUUUAUGACGUGUCUUCGUGCGAAUCGAAAAACAAAAAGACAAGGAAAAGAAGCGAAACCUUUGCUGACAGUGUGUUCUGUCAUUUGUAGUCGCUGCAUGUCGUAUUCACGAUGUAAACUAUACUGAAUGGGUUCCUUUCCAUCUCGUCUCUCGCCUUUGCAUGGCUUCGACGACAACCGUCUGUAUCCGCAACUGAACACACAGGAUGUCUCGUUUGAGAAUAUAAAUAUGAGUAUCCCACCUCUGACGAAAAAAAGAUCUUUGCCGUUUCAAGUUAAGAGCAGUAGAGGUUUAUAUUGCAAUUAGGCUGACAAUAAAAAUUCAAUUAAACAUAAUUCGAAUUUUUGUACGUAUUGAAGUGAAAACGUAAAAUAGAGAAAAAUUGUAAUUCAAGGGUGCAUUUCGCUUAUACACAUAAAAUAACAUAAAAUAAAGCUGCAAUAAAGCUAUGUACCAGAGAUUCUCAAUCAAUGGCAUGCGUACCUACAUGGAAAAUACUGUCCAACAGCACACAGGAUUCAAGGAAAGGAACCCUUAAACAGAGGAGCCUAGAUUAACCGAGACCCAAACUUACAAAACAUAUACAAGGAUAUUAAUCUAAAGUGA